AAAUUGUUUGUUUUCUUUUAGAUGCUGUUUGAUGGUUAGAACCACUCCCCUGUCCUGACGAGCCUUUAUAAUAUGCUAGUUCCGUGUAAAAUGACUGUUCCCGCCCUAUUGUAAAACAAAACGUGAUUGGAUGGAGCGACACUGUGCUACGAUUGGUCAGCGAAAUGUGGCCGUUAUCCGAUUGGCUUGAGUCUGUCUUUUUGUCGAUUUGUGUGCACGUCUUGACGCUAGAAAUAUUUCAAAAUCCACAAACGCACAGGAAGAGAUCCUUGAAAGAAUGCCAGGCAGAGUUUUGUUUGUGCCAAACAUUUGUAAAUACUUUUAUUUGCAAAUCUGUUUCAUUUUUGUGGAUCUCUCUACAUUUAUUUGGAAAUAAGGAACCAUUCUAACCCCAUAUUCGUGCAUCGCUACCGAAUCCACGGCAAAAACCCGACUUCUGAUUUUGCAGUAAACUGUAUGGUGAGAUUAAAAGUGUUUGUGACAUAAAAACAUAUUUGUAAAUAUUUUGUUUAUUUGCAAAUCUCAUUUUAUUUAUUUGCAUAUUUCAUUUUUGUGAAACUCCUGACAUAUAUUCGUGGAUCUCAAUCUAUUUAUUUGUGAAUUUGUUUAAAAUUUGUAAAUCUCUACAUUUAUUUGUGGAUUGUAAUCUAUUUAUUCGGAAAUAUGAAACAAUUCUAAGACCAUCGGUCCCCCUCAAUAAUCAGAUAUGGCCAAAUCGAAAUGGCCAAUCAAAUCAAAGUAGGCGGGCUUUACUGUUCACAGAAGCCACGCGGCACUUCAGCUGUAACAGUGAAAGAGUGCGAGGUAAGAUGUAAGCUAAGUAGCUGAAGUUUAAAACUGCAUUCACGCAAUGUUGUAAUUACUGUAAUUACGAGAUUACAACCCAGAUGAUCUACUCAGAGCUGUUCAUGUCCUCGGAAUCAGAAGUAUGCAUAACAGUCUGUGGUAGCUACAUUGAACUGUAUUGUAUGUUUUUCAUUUAUUUUCAGAUUAUUAUUAAUGUUUUAAUAAUGCAAGAUUAGUCAGUUAUACGAAUUAUUACACAGAAAUAUUACAAGACAACUACUUAACUACAUUUUACUGCUGAAGCAGUGAAUGAAGCAAUGAAUUCAAUGAACAUGGUUACCUAGCUUUCCUGGUAGCCUUUCAGUAAAUUCACUUGUCUAAGGAAAUGAAUAAUAAAACUCAGUGUGAGAGUUUUCAUCCUCAGGCUUAAACUAGAACAUGGUAAAACGUGUGGAUUUGACUCAAGUGUGCUUUUAGGUUGUGGUUCGGGAGGUUAGAUGUGUGUGUGUGUGUGUGGGGGGGGGGGAUUUCUAUAACUGCUGAUCUCCUGGGAUUUUCACACACAACAGUCUCUAGAGUUGACUCUGAAUGGUGCAAUAAAGAAAAAACAUCCAGUGAGCUUCAGUUCUGCAGAUGGAAAUGUCUUGUUGAUAAGUGGUACACAGAUAGUAGGGUCAGAAUUUGGCACCAACCAUCCAUGGACCCAACCUGCCUUGUGUCAACAGUCCAGGCUGGUGGAGGUGGUGUAAUGGUGUGGGGAAUGUUUUCUUGGCACAUUUUGGGCCUGUUAAUACCAAUCAAUCAUCGCUUGAAUGCCACAGCCUAUUCGAGUAUUGUUGCUGACCAUGUGCAUCCUUUCAUGGCCACAAUUUACCCAUCUUCUAUUGGCUAAUUUCAGCAUGACAAUGCACCAUGUCACAAAGCAAAAUUCAUCUCAAACUGUUUUCAUGAACAUGACAAUGAGUUCAGUAUUCUUCAGUGGCCUGCCCAGUCACCGGAUCUGAAUCCAAUAGGAGAUGAGGUAGAACAGGAGAUUCACAGCAUGAAAGUGCACCUGAAAAAUCUGCAGGAAUUGUGUGAAGUAAUCAUGUCAACAUGGGCCAGAAUCUCAGAGGAAUGUUUCCAUCAUCUUGUGGAACCCAUAUCAUGAAGAAUUAAGGCUGUUUUGAGAGCAAAUGGAGGCCCCACAAAGUAUUAGCGUAGUGUGCUCAGUAAGUGUAUGUGAUAUGUCAGAUGAACACUUGGGGUGAGUGAUGGAUAAACAUGAUACGGUGUCUGUUUUCAGUUUUUGAUAAUGUGGGCCCAGGUUGAGACAUCUUUUUCUGUGGUGGACCUUGAAAGUGAACUGCUGCAACCUCAGAGUCCAUCGGGUCAGACGCGAGAAGGUCUUGGGGCAGUCGAAUGCCCAGGCGAAGGGCCGCAUGGUAGGUGAAGACCUCAAAUUCCCUCACUUCUAGGUAGUGUCUCUACUUUUCCACUGCGCAUACCACCGCUAAACACUUCAUUUCAAUGCCUUUGAUGCAUAAGCUAUAGCUUGAUCUCCUUCUGUAGAAUGCUGCGUAAGAAUGGCUCCCAGUCCAACUUUGCUUGUGUGGACCUGGAAAGUCUGGACAAGGUUAGGCUGGGCAAGAACUGGUGAAUCUUGAAGGGCCUGCUUUAGGGCAUCCAUGCUGGCUUGGCAUUUGUAUGUCCAUUCCUAUUUAACUCCCUUCUUCUUUAAGUGGUUCAAAGGAGUUGCAAUGUACGCAAAAUGGGGAAUGAAUUUGUGAUACCAGCCAGCCAAGCCUCAAAGCACUCAAAGAUCAUUUGGCAGAGAGAAAUCGUCAGUGGUCUUCUCCGUAUUGACCUCUACCCCCUUUUCCAGUGAUUCGAGGACAUCAUGUGUGAGUGGCAUUGAGUAAGCAUUUGGGAUGGUCUUACUGUUGAGCCUCCUGUAAUUGACGCAUAAGGCACGAGGACCACCGGGGAUGACCAUGGAGAGAGAGGGCUCGAUGAUAUUUUCUUGGAGCAUUCUGUCCACCUGGUCUUCAGUUAUUUUAUUUCGAAAGAUGAGACUAUAGGCUCUGCAUUUACUUGGUAUGUUGUCAGAGGGCGAUUUUGUGUUUUUCCACAGCUGUACGACCCAAGACACCGGAGGUGGAACAAGGCCAGGACAACAUCAACUUCUGUAGCUCCUCCAGGGUAUCAGAAUUCUAGAUUGGAAAACCUUUAUGAGUUAUGAAAGUUAGACAUGGGAACAAAAGAGUAGGACAUAAGGUGUAGUAGAGAUUCACAAUGACAGGAUGGAGGGAAAGAGCGCCUGCUGUUGUUUCGGGCCCAGGGUUCCCUGGGAUGGAAGGAACAGAUGUCUUCAGUCCUUUGCAGCCACCUCUGACAUCUAGGAUAACCCCAAAGGAACCAAGGAAGUCUAUGAGAGGGAACACCAGUGAAUCUUUCAACUGGCCAUGAUGAAUCUUUUUAGGGAGUGAGUACUGACUGCUGGAGCGUCUCCCCCUAACUGUCUCCAUAGGCUCUCCUGCAUCAAGAUGUAGGUGCUACCAGUGUCCAGCACUGCUUUCAUCUCCUUCCCUUUCACCAUCACAGGCACCAGGAGUAGUGUUGUGACAUCACGAUGUUGGGCUAUGGAAACUCCCGCAAGCUUUUUGGAGCAACUAUGGUCAGAUGGCUUCUUACUGGUCUUAUCUUUACUACUCUGAUUUCCCACCUUCUGCUAAUAGUCUUUUGCUCCCAUGCAUUCCUUCUCAACCGUGGAUCCAAUUUUCAUCAACUGUUCCAGUGUGUUCACUGCCCCUCUCAGGUAGCCAGCGACCCUUGGGUUGAUGUUAUUGAGUAUGCGGCUCAUCACUUUCUCCUCUGAGAUGUCAAGGCUUCCACAGAGGGCAGAGACAGAGGGCUCUGUAAUCUGUGAAAUCUCUCAGGUGUUGACUCAGCUGCUGUACAAGACUCCUCAGCUUAUCCUGCACUUCAGAAAAGUAAUCAUCUGGCAGGAAAGCAGCCAUAAAUGCCUCUUUGAAAGAUUUCCAAUCACUCACUCUUGUCUUUUCUGCCUUCCACCAGCUCAGAGCAGGUCAUCUCAGCACUGUACUCAAGGUUCCCAUGAGCUCCACACUGGGUAGGGGCCUGAUAUCCAGGAAGUUUUACCAUUGCUCAAUAAAGUUGGGCACAUCUGCCAUCUCACAAGAGUCACUGAAGGAGGGGAACUCCAGUCAGAUGGGAGCUCGAACACAGAAUGAGGAUGCCCCAGCUCCAGCUGAGGAUGAGAGGGUGUUAUAGAGUUGAAUGUCAGCAGUUGGAUUGAUGUCAUAUGAGGCAGCUGAAGACUUAUGUUGUGGAAUUUUAUCUCUAGGCGCAGGCACCGGAGUUUUGGGAGAAUUAACGAAAGAAAUGUGAGGUAGCUGGGGUGUAAGAAUGUAAUCUGGUGAGUGUAGGGAUAAUAGUCUCUCUGAUUUUCUUCUUCUGACUCCCCCAUUUAGCAUCUCUCCACAGGAAACAAUCUAUAGCCACUCCCUCCAGUUUGUCCAGGGACCAUUCAAAAUAGUCCUCCAUCUGAGCUAUGCUAGCAUCCACUACCUCCCUGAGACUGGUUUUGUGGUUAAGCGUACUGCUGAUGAAUUGUUUGAAGUUUCUGUCUAGCUUUUAUACAUGUUCUCUAAGGGCCAAUAAAUCCACCUUAAGUUGU